GCCAGCAUGGUGUAGUGGUUUGAACGUUGGAGUGUGACUCAGGUGAUCAGGGUUUGAUUCCCUGCGCAAGUA